rnacentral:rRNA from 1 species
UACGGGGGGAGCAAGCGUUGUUCGGAUUUACUGGGCGUAAAGGGCGCGUAGGCGGUCGUGACAAGUCACUUGUGAAAUCUCCGGGCUUAACCCGGAGCGGCCAAGUGAUACUGUCGUGCUAGAGUGCGGAAGGGGCUACUGGAAUUCUCGGUGUAGCGGUGAAAUGCGUAGAUAUCGAGAGGAACACCUGCGGCGAAGGCGGGUUGCUGGGCUGACACUGACGCUGAGGCGCGAAAGCCAGGGGAGCGAACGGG